rnacentral:rRNA from 1 species
ACGAAGGGGGCUAGCGUUGUUCGGAAUCACUGGGCGUAAAGCGUACGUAGGCGGACGAAUAAGUCAGGGGUGAAAGCCUGGAGCUCAACUCCAGAACUGCCUUUGAUACUGUUUGUCUUGAGUCCGGGAGAGGUGAGUGGAACUGCUAGUGUAGAGGUGAAAUUCGUAGAUAUUAGCAAGAACACCAGUGGCGAAGGCGGCUCACUGGCCCGGUACUGACGCUGAGGUACGAAAGCGUGGGGAGCAAACAG